GAGAGUUGAGCAGUUCAUCCCAUCACUAUGUGAAGUGUUGGGGUCCAGAGUUGAGGCAGAGCAGGUGACUCCUCUGCUCCAGGCUUUGGACUUCACAGUCACACUGAGUGGAACAUUACCCAGCAGCACCUGCAGAUCUGUGGGGAGAGUUCUGGGCCUUUCACCCUCAAAACUAAACCUGACUCUAAAGACACAAGCCAUUUCUGUCAGAGGAACCAGACUGCUCUUCAAACACAUCAAACACCUGCAGCAACUGAGUCUGGAAGACAAAAUGUUAGCGAGGAUGGUCAGAGCACUGAGGUCAUUUAAGGGUCCUGUUUUGCUGACCACAGAGGAGCUUUCACUCGUCACAAGAGACUCAAAGCAAAGUCUCUCUCAUAUCCCGAGCAGCUUGAUGUCUCUCGUGAGACUGUUGUCUGUCCAGUGUUUGGAUCUUACUGAGUGUAAAUUAGAGGCUCUGUCUCUCAAACAACUGUUGAGUCUCCAAGAACCCUUGACUAUCAGGUUCUCUAAAGAAACUCUUCAGCAGCUGGUUUCAGUGGUGUAUGAAGCACAGGAUGAUGAACUGACACGCUGCUUUCUGAAGAAAGUGUCUGAGGAUCUGACUUCCUGCUCACUGACCUGGGAAGUGAUUCAUUACCUGCUGCAACAUCAAGCUCUAAAUUUAAAGCUGGACUUCAGGAAGAGCAAAAUCACUUGUGAAAUCAGACAACUGUUACCCUGGUUAGGAACAAUUCAGCUGAAAAGGUUGAGCCCCAGCUUUACUCUGUCCAUCAUUAUGGAGAUUUACGAGACUCGCUUUCCUCAGUAUGUGUCCAGUCUGAUGAGUUCAGCAGGAAAUGACAUCAACCUGAAUGGCCGAGUGUUGGACUCUGUUCACUGCGCUGCUCUGCGCUUCACUCUGCAGCACUGCAACACUGUUAAACUCAAUCUGCUCUGGACCUCCAUACCAGCAGAGGAGCUAGAGAGCUUUCUGCCUUUACUCAGCAGAGUCACACAACUCAGUGUUGACAGGCUGCUGUUGCUGAAGCUGCUUCGUUGCUGCAGUUCCUCUGAUCUCCAGCAGGAGGCAGCAGAUGUUCUUCUCUCUGCUCUUCACCACAGACUGGACUUCUCCUGCUGCUCUGCUCUGGAUUUAACAGACACACAGAAAACCCAAAAGCAUUUGAAACUAACUGAAAAAGACUGUAGAAUAAUCUCAUCUGUGCUUCAGAAAACUCAAAGCAUUGUGAAGUUGUUCUUACAGGACUGUGAGCUCUCUGAUGAGGCCCUGAAAAAACUAUGGCCAAUCCUGCCUCAAAUCCAGCUGAGCUGCAGUAAAGCUCUGCUGCUGCAGUUUCUGGCUUGUAUCAGUAAAGAUGGAUCUCAGAGAGGCUCUUUGAGGAGCGCUGAGGCUCUUUCACAGGCUUUGGGAGGAGAGAUGGACCUCAGUCGCACUCAGAUGGACCCGAGAGCUUGUGAACAGCUGGCGCUGUUUCUGGAAUAUUCUGAAGGACUGACAGAACUGGAUCUCAGUCACAGCAAACUCACUGAUCUCUGCAUGGAGCCGCUGCUGCCACAUCUGCACAAAACCCAGACUCUGGACUUGAGUCACAAUAAUAUCACAGAUGAAUCAGCAAAGAGAAUCCACAGUGUUGUCUGCACUCACAGCAAUCUUCAGACUGUACGACUUUUUAGAAACAAAAUCAGUGACAGAAAGCAGUUCAUCAGAGACAAGCGAUUUGAAAUAUGGUGAAGAUCCUGGACUGAUUUAUUUGUUCAAGGAUGGUUUGUAAAGAGCUGGAAACAUGAUAAAACAUUUUUACAAUCACUUAGAACUGAACAAAAGAACUGAAUGCUGUUAGAUUUAGAAGAUUACUGCUAUGGUUUUGCAAUUAAUUUCUGUCAUUAAUGCAGUUUUAUUGUCCUUGAAUCAUUCAGUAUGGAUUUAAAUUAGAUGUUCAUUUACAGAGCCCUAAUAAAGUCUAUAUCUGAAGAAAUACUGAUAUGACC
ensembl:lncRNA